CACCUCUCAGGAUGGCACCUGUAGAGUUUUCAAUACUCUUCCAGUCUCGACUACCAGAGGGAGAGUCAAGCAGAGGCCUACCCAUUCCAUUCCCAGCUUGGGCAGUGGCUAGCGAGUGGAAGGCAAUUUGCUACAAGU